GACGAACGCUGGCGGCGUGCUUAACACAUGCAAGUCGAGCGGAAAGGCCCUGCUUUUGUGGGGUGCUCGAGUGGCGAACGGGUGAGUAACACGUGAGUAACCUGCCCUUGACUUUGGGAUAACUUCAGGAAACUGGGGCUAAUACCGGAUAGGAGCUCCUGCUGCAUGGUGGGGGUUGGAAAGUUUCGGCGGUUGGGGAUGGACUCGCGGCUUAUCAGCUUGUUGGUGGGGUAGUGGCUUACCAAGGCUUUGACUGGUAGCCGGCCUGAGAGGGUGACCGGCCACAUUGGGACUGAGAUACGGCCCAGACUCCUACGGGAGGCAGCAGUGGGGAAUAUUGCACAAUGGGCGGAAGCCUGAUGCAGCAACGCCGCGUGCGGGAUGACGGCCUUCGGGUUGUAAACCGCUUUCGCCUGUGACGAAGCGUGAGUGACGGUAAUGGGUAAAGAAGCACCGGCUAACUACGUG
rnacentral:rRNA from 1 species